UGCUGCCUGUCUGCUGCUGGCCGCCUGUAUGGUUGGUUCUCCAUUUGUUUGCCCUUUCUCUAGCAACCGAUAUGCACAGCCUGCGGUGGGCUCAUCGCCGUCCCAGCCCCCUUGUGUCCGUAGGCGGGGAGCCUUGCAGAGACGCCCUCGCGCACAGAUUCUGGGAGAAGUCCGAUUUCUCUUGGCCAGGCCCCAAGGCUGGUUUUGCAGCGGUCAGCUCGACUCCAAGGAGCCUUGGACCAGGCGAUGGCGCAGCCGCAAAAGCUGGCUGUUUGGUGACCUGAGGGUUGACUCCAGGAACGGAGAGGGAAGGAAGACCACAGAGAAACCCUGACUCACAGAAACCACAUUGACGGGGCCUGACAGAAGCGAGCAGGUGGAAAGGGAUGCAAUCUCGAAACUUUCCUGUUGGUCUUGCAGUUAUUUGUAAUUCCAAGGAAGGCCUGGAUGGACUACGGCCACCCAUGUAUUCUUCCAUCUGCUAAGAACUAUAACCAUUUGCAAUUUUUGGUGGGGAGAUUUUCAUAUCCACCAGACUCCCUCUCCAGUUCUGUCGGUGUCGCUCCCGGCCGGCAGGAAGAACACACGACAAAUUCUGACGGCCUCACGUCCGCCAAGUAAGGCGACCGGGCUCGGCCGCGGCUCCCAACACAGGUCCCCAUCAGAGGGAGACACACUGAAUCCCAGAGGGACUAAGUGACUUCGUGCCCAAGAUCACACAAAUUAACAGAAGCCUUGAGCCUGGAAGGAACAGCAAAGGUUUCCUCUGCUUGAAGGGGUUGUCGUUUAUUGAGCACCUAUGACACAGAAGAUACUGUGGUGGGCACACGCACAUGGGUAUCUCUGAAGCAACACCAGCCUGUCGGGAUGGCCCCCAACUCACCUUUCCAGUUUGAAGGCUGAGAUCGCACUGAGCGCUCACGAGUUUUUCUUGAAAUCAAAUGACAAGUCUGUCUGCCAUGGGGUCCCAUCCCUAUGGUACAGUGGGCACUGUUUUUCAGAGUUGUGUCCUCUUGCAGGGUGGCUUAGCUUGGAACCUGAGGCAAGAAAGACUGAAGGGCCAGAAGUCACUAAUAAGUGAAAUGCACAGCCCCCCAAGUCUCUCCAGAAGUCUCCCCUCCCCCGAAGUCUCCCCCUCUUGGAAAUCUCUCAUCUAACCCUCCCCCUCUUCUCCCAUGAACCCCACAGCUUUGCCUUAGAGCUAGGGGAGGGGAAGACAAGGGCUCCAGGUGACCUGGGCAGCCCAGUCACCCCAGUUUGUGUCCAGGCACCAGUGCUGACACAGUUGCCGCUCAGGACCACCCUGGAGGUGGCUGAGUCCUGAGAGCGAGGCCCAGACCUCCCUGAGCUCUCUGAUGAAACCAGCCUCUGCUUUAGCUGAGCCAGCUUCUCUAGAUUACCGCUCACGGAGACCAAAAUGCCAUUUAAAAUAUGGAAGAUCCUGAUGCUUGGGGUGAGCCUGGGAGUGACGAGGGGAGCUGAGGACCUCAUGUUUUUCUGGUACCGUGGUUCUGGGUUAGGCAGGAGGAGACCUCAAGUUCCAUGGAAUGCACUGCUGGAUCUGGGUGCCUGCGUUCUCCGAGAACUCAUCAGGUCUCUGUCCUUAUCUGAGAAGUUGGCAGUGAUCACAGGUUUGGAAGCCAUCCUGUGUUCCAGAACAGACCCUAGGGCUAUUAAAAUACACUUGGAACAUUAAAAAUAUCCGAAGAAAUGUAAAUUCAACAAAACAAAACAAAACAUUGAGUAGCUUCUGUUUGUCCCCGUGUCCUCUGGUCACCCUUUGCAAUUCUGCUCUCUAUCACAGCAGGGGGAA